rnacentral:misc_RNA from 1 species
AAACCACACAUUUUAUAAUUAAUUACAAAAUUAUCAAUUACAAAUAAUUAGUUAUUUAAAAAAAAGGGUAUUGACUAUUAAUCACUAACCUUUGAUUUAAAGCUAUCUAUCAAAAAUUAAUUGUUGCUAGCAACAGCUAAACUCAAUGAGCUCGUAUCCCUGUAAGUGAGAUAGUUACUGUAUUGAGGCUGUUACCUGCCCUAUUGGUAGGGGAUGGCUCCUCCUCUUCCUCCAGUCGAAUGUUGGAUCUCCGUCUCCCAUUUUCGAUCAGUUCAUUUAUAUCUUUGAUGGGUCUUGUUCUCUUGUCGAUCUAUUGAAGAUGAGCUUCUUUGUGAAGGUUUAAGUACAAAUUGGUGAAAUGGUUCUGGUCAGGUCCCAGCCUGGUGGUGUACGCGAUGUUUACUUCUCAACUCCCCUGUUCUAAUUCUGUGUUAGUUGGGGGAGUUUAUUGUGUAUGGAUGAGGACUGAGACUCCUGUUGUGAUGGUCCUUUUUGAGCUUUCUUCUGUUGUUGCAACUUCCUUUGGCUUAAGGUAGUUUCCUUCGGUUGAGUAACUGGUGGAAGGAGUUAUCCAUGGUGGCAGUCAAGGAGGUGAUUUGUCGGGUCAACCUGUUUCAGCCUAGGGCUCCAAAAUAUAUAAGCUUUGGGUCUUUAUCGUAUGGGUUUGGGUGGAGUUAAGCAGUAAAUUAUGUAUUUGGGCUUGUGAGCCUUGUCCCCCCUGAUGAUUUUCA